rnacentral:rRNA from 1 species
CAGUCGCCGCGGUAAUACGUAGGGUGCAAGCGUUAAUUGGAAUUACUGGGCGUAAAGCGUGCGCAGGCGGUUAUAUAAGACAGAUGUGAAAUCCCCGGGCUCAACCUGGGAACUGCAUUUGUGACUGUAUAGCUAGAGUACGGCAGAGGGGGAUGGAAUUCCGCGUGUAGCAGUGAAAUGCGUAGAUAUGCGGAGGAACACCGAUGGCGAAGGCAAUCCCCUGGGCCUGUACUGACGCUCAUGCACGAAAGCGUGGGGAGCAAACAGGAUUAGAUACCCGAGUAGUCCCUGUCUCUUAUAC